rnacentral:snRNA from 1 species
AGCCACGCAGUAAGCUACAAGCGAACUAUUCUUUCGCCUUUUACUAAAGAAUACCGUGUGCUCGUUGCAUUAAGUGGCAUAAGCCUAUUUUUGGAGGAUCCCCUGCUUCUAGCGGAG